rnacentral:rRNA from 1 species
GACGAACGCUGGCGGCACGCUUAACACAUGCAAGUCGAACGAGAGAAGAGAAGCUUGCUUUUCUGAUCUAGUGGCGGACGGGUGAGUAACACGUGAGCAAUCUGCCUUUCAGAGGGGGAUACCGAUUGGAAACGAUCGUUAAUACCGCAUAACAUAAUUGAACCGCAUGAUUUGAUUAUCAAAGAUUUAUCGCUGAAGGAUGAGCUCGCGUCUGAUUAGCUAGUUGGUAAGGUAACGGCUUACCAAGGCGACGAUCAGUAGCCGGACUGAGAGGCUGAUCGGCCACAUUGGGACUGAGACACGGCCCAGACUCCUACGGGAGGCAGCAGUGGGGAAUAUUGCACAAUGGAGGAAACUCUGAUGCAGCGAUGCCGCGUGAGGGAAGAAAGGUUUAGGGAUGUAAACCUCUGUCUUUCAGGACGAAAAAUGGCCGUACCUGAAGAGGAAGCUUCCGGUAACUACGUGGCAGCAGCCGCGGUAAUACCUAAGGAGCGAGCGUUGUCCGGAAUUACUGGGUGUUAAGGGAGCGUAGCGGGAUCGCAAGUCAGAUGUGAAAACUAUGGGCUUAACCCAUAAACUGCAUUUGAAACUGUGGUUCUUGAGUGAAGUAGAGGUAAGCGGAAUUCCUAGUGUAGCGGUGAAAUGCGUAGAUAUUAGGAGGAACAUCAGUGGCGAAGGCGGCUUACUGGGCUUUAACUGACGCUGAGGCUCGAAAGCGUGGGGAGCAAACAGGAUUAGAUACCCUGGUAGUCCACGCCGUAAACGAUGAUUACUAGGUGUGGGGGGACUGACCCCUUCCGUGCCGCAGCAAACGCAAUAAGUAAUCCACCUGGGGAGUACGACCGCAAGGUUGAAACUCAAAGGAAUUGACGGGGGCCCGCACAAGCAGUGGAGUAUGUGGAUUAAUUCGAAGCAACGCGAAGAACCUUACCAGGUCUUGACAUCGUAUGCAUAGCUCAGAGAUGAGUGAAAUCUCUUCGGGGACAUAUAGACAGGUGGUGCAUGGUUGUCGUCAGCUCGUGUCGUGAGAUGUUGGGUUAAGUCCCGCAACGAGCGCAACCCUUACUGUUAGUUGCUACGCAAGAGCACUCUAGCAGGACUGCCGUUGACAAAACGGAGGAAGGUGGGGAUGACGUCAAAUCAUCAUGCCCCUUAUGACCUGGGCCUCACACGUACUACAAUGGCUGUCAACAGAGGGAAGCAAAGCCGCGAGGUGGAGCGAACCCCUAAAAGCAGUCUUAGUUCGGAUUGUAGGCUGCAACCCGCCUACAUGAAGUCGGAAUUGCUAGUAAUCGCAGAUCAGCAUGCUGCGGUGAAUACGUUCCCGGGCCU